UGAAUCGACGAUAUAUUUACGGUAUAUCGGUAUGUAAUGGUAUGAGGUCGCUCCCCUCCCCUUGGAGUUCAUACGCCGGAUUCGAGCUAUAAUCAUGGCCAUCAGAUUUGAUUGGAGACGAGACGCUGGAUGGCAACAAGUGUCGGUACUGGUUGGCAGCUAGGACUACGUGUACUGGAGCGACUUGAGCAGCGGGGAGAUUAAUCAAGACUGGCCAGAGCCACAGCCUCGCCAAGGACGUGCCCUGCAUCCCCGCCAGCUACGCCAAACUGCCCAAAUGUCGGUGUGCGGCAAGAAUAUCCGUGCCCAGCUUCUUGGGCGAACUUACAGAAGCCUCGCAACAUUGUCGUGCAUGCCAUGAAGGCGAGGCGGCUGCUCUUCUGGUCAGAUGUCGGCAGUCAUCAGGCCAUCCGGACAGAUAAUUUUACGUGGCGGGAGUAGUGACAUGAACAACGACUGUAUAUCCGCCUUCUAGCGCUGAGACGAAAGGACUGCCGGCGAAUUCAGCUGAUAGUCAGCCGAGGGCAGCGACAAGGCUCUGAUCUGCUAUCGUACCACCUGUGACAACUGUGACAAUGUCCACGAUGAGGUCGACUGCUGCAAGCGGCCAGGAGAUUCGAGCUAUAAUCAUGGCCAUCAGAUUUGAUUGGAGACGAGACACUGGAUGGCAACAAGUGUCGGUACUGGUUGGCAGCUCGGACUACGUGUACUAGAGCGACUUGAGCAGCGGGGACAUUGAUCAAGACUGGCCAGAGCCACAGCCUCGCCAAGGACGUGCCCUGCAUCCCCGCCAGCUACGCCAAACUGCCCAAAUGUCGGUGUCCGGCAAGAAUAUCCGUGCCAAGCUUCUUGGGCGAACUUGCAGAAGCCUCGCAACAUUGUCGUGCAUGCCAUGAAGGCGAGGCGGCUGCUCUUCUGGUCAGAUGUCGGCAGUCAUCAGGCCAUCCGGACAGAUAAUUUUACGUGGCGGGAGUAGUGACCUGAACAACGACUGUAUAUCCGCCUUCUAGCGCUGAGACGAAAGGACUGCCGGCGAAUUCAGCUGAUAGUCAGCCGAGGGUAGCGACAAGGCUCUGAUCUGCUAUCGUACCACCUGUGACAACUGUGAAAAUGUCCACGACGAGGCCGACUGCUGCAAGCGGCCAGGGGAUUUUCAGUGAUAUUUUCAACAAGCUUUGCAUAUCGGCCGCCCUACUCUGCGAUGGCUGGGAACUCUGCCGCACACCGAGCUAAAGAAUCGACUUCUAAUGGCUCCAUCGAAGAUAAUAAAUAAAACAGUAAGCAGGAAGCACGCCGUCAAGCACUCCCUUUUAAAGACUUGAAAAACACAAUAGAGAAUCUGCAGGAUAUUUCAUUUGAGGUGCAACGCGACCAAGCUGCGGAUGAAGAUGGAGCGAAAAGACUGGACGAGUGUGCCAGGUUACCACUACCACAAUGCCUUCUACAAGGACCCCAGGUCCAAAGGCGAUACCAGUUUAAGGUGGUAUAAACAGCAGUCCAGUUUUCGCGGAGUAUAGUCCGGUCAAACAUUCCAAGAGCUCGAGAGGCAUCGAGAGCCAGUUCGCCUACUUGCAUACCCAGCCGCGAGGAAACUAAGGAGCUGAGUUAAAGGUUGAGCUGGCCAACGCUUUCAGCAAGAACGAGGUGCGAGUGGCCCAGAUCUUGCGGGACCGGAUGAAAUGAAAAAAGAAACACGUAUUUAAGGAUAUAUAGUUAUGUGGUGGAUGUGUGCAACACCAGAAGGAAG
rnacentral:sRNA from 1 species